rnacentral:rRNA from 1 species
GAUGAACGCUGGCGGCGUGCCUAAUACAUGCAAGUCGAGCGAACAGACGAGGAGCUUGCUCCUCUGACGUUAGCGGCGGACGGGUGAGUAACACGUGGAUAACCUACCUAUAAGACUGGGAUAACUUCGGGAAACCGGAGCUAAUACCGGAUAAUAUAUUGAACCGCAUGGUUCAAUAGUGAAAGACGGUUUUGCUGUCACUUAUAGAUGGAUCCGCGCCGCAUUAGCUAGUUGGUAAGGUAACGGCUUACCAAGGCGACGAUGCGUAGCCGACCUGAGAGGGGGACCGGCCACACGAGAACUGAGACGGGGUCCAGCCCCCGCCGGGGGGCAGAAGGGGGAAUUCUCCGGAAAGGGGCGAAACCCUAAGGGAGCACCCCGGCGGGAGUAAGAAAGGUCUUGGGAUGAAAAAACUUUUUUAUUGGGGAAAAAAAAAUGUGAAAGUAACUAUGCCCUUCUUGACGGUCCCUAACCAAAAAGCCAGGGCUAACUAGGUG